rnacentral:rRNA from 1 species
UACGGAGGGUGCGAGCGUUGUUCGGAAUUACUGGGCGUAAAGCGUGCGCAGGCGGUUUGCUAAGACCGAUGUGAAAUCCCCGGGCUUAACCUGGGAACUGCAUUGGUGACUGGCAGGCUAGAGUAUGGCAGAGGGGGGUAGAAUUCCACGUGUAGCAGUGAAAUGCGUAGAGAUGUGGAGGAAUACCGAUGGCGAAGGCAGCCCCCUGGGCCAAUACUGACGCUCAUGCACGAAAGCGUGGGGAGCAAACAGG